UUUUGCUUUAAUUUAUUUCUCGCACAGGUUGUGUAAGUAUGCAGUAGAUUGCAGCGAGAAAAUGCAAUGCGCGUUUACAUCCUUAUUUCCUCUUCCUCAUCCUCCAAAGCUCGGAAUUAGAAAUUCACAGUUACCAAUUGGCGCUCAAAGACAAACCCAUCUUCAGAGCAACUUUGAAAACUUCAAUGGUGAAUUGUCAGUGGGUGUGAAUAUACCUCUGCCUUCCCAUGUGAAAUCCAUUACAAGCACUUCAAACCCAUUUGUGAAACACUGUCUCAAGCUUCGCAACAGCUCUUCUUAUCGCCAUUCGCAUGGUGCAGUUCUUGUUGUGGGUUCUACCCCUAUCAGGGAGAUAUACAGAUUUCAGGAGACAUUACAAGAGAAAACUGUCAGAUUGAUUUGUUUACUUGUACUUGAUAAAGCUGAAAUACUUGAAGAGAUAGAUGCUCGUUCUGUUCGCAUUGUUCGUGUGAGCCCUAUGGUAAUGAAAAAACUUUCUGGGGUGCAAUCAACUGAAUCAAUUGAAGCAAUUGCCCUAAUGAGAAUCCCAACCAGUUAUCUCCAUUUAAAUGGUGACAAAGAAGAAGCACAUUCUGAGGGAUGGUUCCCAUCUCCUCAUCGAAUUCUAGUCCUUGAUGGAAUCCAGGACCCAGGCAACCUUGGUACUAUACUCAGAUCAGCCAUGGCCUUUAGAUGGGGUGGUGUUUUUCUGCUUCCUGGCUGUUGUGAUCCAUUCAAUGAGAAAGCACUACGAGCGAGCCGAGGUGCCUGUUUUCAGUUCCCAAUAGUUUGUGGCUGUUGGAUUCAUCUUGAAGCCCUUAAAAGCAAAUUUCAAAUGAAAAUGCUAGCUGGUCAUCCAGAGAGUAAUGCAGAACUGAAGUCAGUGUUUCAACUAACUCAUGAAUUUGCAGAUUCUUUAGUACAUGUUCCAUUGUGCCUGAUUUUGGGCAGUGAAGGGAGUGGCCUGUCAGAGAAAUCUCAUCAGGAAUGUGAGCUGGUGAGCAUUCCAAUGGCAGGAGAGUCUGACUCUCUCAAUGUUUCAGUUGCAGGUGGGAUUUUCUUGUAUAUGCUACAGCCUAGAAUAUAGAGAUUGAAUCUGAUUCUAUAUAUUUCAUUCUAAAAAUGCUCAAUUGUUCACCAAUCAAAAACUAGCCGUAGGGUCUAACUUGUAAAACCCUCAACGGCUUUAUGCUAUCACCAAAUAGAAAAUCUUGCGUUGUUCCCAAGAAGGUUUUGCAUCUUCAAUGGUAAGAUAACAAGCAGCUAGGUUGCUUGGAAAUUGGGACUGUCCAUAUCAUGCAAAUUUUCCAUAGAAAGUGCUAGAUGAUAACGCAGCUACCAAGUAGCAUAUGACUUCUGUAAAUAUAGUGUUGAGAAACAAAAAGGAAUCACUUAGUUGAGUUGGGACUGUGGAAGGAAACUGGUUACUAAAAGCUAUCUUUUUCAGAUUGGCUUUGGCUUUGGCUGUAUAAAAUAAGCAGAUUACUGAUAUUCCUAAUUCCUAUGAAAAACUAGACAUACGCAAAUUGCACGGUUGAUGCUGAUUGAUCCAGUAUUUGGGUGUUCCAAUGAUAUGCUCUACAUUUCCAACCUUUUUUUCCUUGAUCAAAAAACUUGUGGGGCAUUUUUAUUUUCUUCACUAGAUGAUAACGAUGGAGCACCAAGAAUUGCAUCUCAAAUGAUCCCCCCCCAAAAAAAAAAAAAAAGGGGUUUUGGGGGAGGCAUGUCAGUUGUCAUAAAGCUCUGGGCCAGGUCGUAAUUGGUUUGCAAAUGGAGCAAAUGAAGAUGGGUUUCUUUUUGUUUUUGUUGGGCCCCAAACAAAAGUGAUGCUGAUUAUCCUACCGAAUGAGGAUAAACUUCAGCCAACUUGUCCCCCCCAAUGAGGGAAUCAUUGUGUUCAGAUCAUGGAGUGGUCAUCGGCUAUUGGGUAUUAAAUAAACAACCGGUGGAUAACUGGUUGCUAGUACAUGAAAUACUUUCUCUUUCCCAAAGGAUUCAAAUUGAGAUUGAUAAAUAAA